UACGUAGGGUGCAAGCGUUAAUCGGAAUACUGGGCGUAAAGCGUGCGCAGGCGGUGAUGUAAGACAGGUGUGAAAUCCCCGGGCUUAACCUGGGAACUGCAUUUGUGACUGCAUCGCUGGAGUGCGGCAGAGGGGGAUGGAAUUCCGCGUGUAGCAGUGAAAUGCGUAGAUAUGCGGAGGAACACCGAUGGCGAAGGCAAUCCCCUGGGCCUGCACUGACGCUCAUGCACGAAGCGUGGGGAGCAAACAGG
rnacentral:rRNA from 1 species